UAAGUUAAUCUCCAAGUCUAAUGGUUGAAUUCGUUAAUUGGGCUUGAAGAUUAACUUAGA
rnacentral:pre_miRNA from 1 species